rnacentral:rRNA from 1 species
GGCGCGAAAACUUUACAAUGCUGGCAACAGCGAUAAGGGAACCUCGAGUGCCAGGUUACAAAUCUGGCUGUCGAGAUGCCUAAAAAGCAUUUCAUAGCAAGGGCCGGGCAAGACCGGUGCCAGCCGCCGCGGUAACACCGGCGGCUCGAGUGGUAACCGUUAUUAUUGGGUCUAAAGGGUCUGUAGCCGGCCGGAUAAGUCUCUUGAGAAAUCUGGCAGCUUAACUGUCAGGCUUUCAGGAGAUACUGUCUGGCUCGAGGCCGGGAGAGGUGAGAGGUACUUCAGGGGUAGGGGUGAAAUCUUGUAAUCCUUGAAGGACCACCAGUGGCGAAGGCGUCUCACCAGAACGGACCUGACGGCAAGGGACGAAAGCUAGGGGCACGAACCGGAUUAGAUACCCCUGUAGUCC